UACAGAGGUCCCGAGCGUUGUUCGGAUUCAUUGGGCGUAAAGGGUGCGUAGGCGGCUUCUUAAGUUUGAUGCGAAAUCCUGGGGCUCAACCCUGGAACUGCAUUGAAUACUGGGAGGCUAGAGUACUGGAGAGGAAACUGGAAUUUACGGUGUAGCAGUGAAAUGCGUAGAGAUCGUAAGGAAGACCAGUGGCGAAGGCGAGUUUCUGGACAGUUACUGACGCUGAGGCACGAAGGCCAGGGGAGCAAACGGGG
rnacentral:rRNA from 1 species